CUCUAAUGAGACUGCCGGUGACUAAACCGGAGGAAGGUGGGGAUGACGUCAAGUCCUCAUGGCCCUUAUGGUAGGGCUUCACACGUCAUACAAUGGUCGGUACAGAGGGUUGCCAACCCGCGAGGGGGAGCUAAUCCCACAAAGCCGAUCGUAGUCCGGAUCGCAGUCUGCAACUCGACUGCGUGAAGUCGGAAUCGCUAGUAAUCGUGGAUCAGCAUGUCACGGUGAAUACGUUCCCGGGUCUU
rnacentral:rRNA from 1 species